rnacentral:rRNA from 1 species
GUCGCUACUACCGAUUGAAUGGCUUAGUGAGGUUUCCGGAUUGGCUUUGAGGACCCGGCAACGGGAUCUUAUUGCUGAGAAGCUACCCAAACUUGGUCAUUUAGAGGAAGUAAAAGUCGUAACAAGGUUUCC